rnacentral:rRNA from 1 species
AGAACGAACGCUGGCGGCAUGCCUAAUACAUGCAAGUCGAACGAACUCUUCGGAGUUAGUGGCGCACGGGUGCGUAACGCGUGGGAAUCUGCCCCUUGGUUCGGAAUAACAGUUGGAAACGACUGCUAAUACCGGAUGAUGACGAAAGUCCAAAGAUUUAUCGCCAAGGGAUGAGCCCGCGUAGGAUUAGCUAGUUGGUGAGGUAAAGGCUCACCAAGGCAACGAUCCUUAGCUGGUCUGAGAGGAUGAUCAGCCACACUGGGACUGAGACACGGCCCAGACUCCUACGGGAGGCAGCAGUAGGGAAUAUUGGACAAUGGGCGAAAGCCUGAUCCAGCAAUGCCGCGUGAGUGAUGAAGGCCUUAGGUUGUAAAGCACUUUUGGCAGGGAAGAAACGGCGUACCCGUUAAGUACGGGCGUCACUGACGGUACCUGACAGAAUAAGCACCGGCUAACUACGUGCCAGCAGCCGC